AACAACACAUUUCUCCUCAAAACUUCCGCUUAUCUUUUCGUCUUCAAGAGUUUGUUUUCAUCUUCAAUAAACCCUCCGUUUUCUUCUCCAAACCCUCAGUUUCGUAUUCAAGAUUAUGACCGAAGGCGUCUUCAAGAGUUCGCCGUAACGACGUGACCGGAGGCAUCUUCAAGAGUUCUCCGCUCUUAAGUGCCAAACUUAUGCUCAUCUUUUCUUGUUCUUCGAGAAACGCUUCUGCUUAAGUUUCCUGCUUCAUUGAUUUUAUUCAAAGGAAAUCCUUUCUCCUUGUUCAGUUUAUAAAGCCUGUUAAGUUAAGGAAUCAUUCUCUAGUGCCACAAAGGAAGUCUAUUAUUAGGUAAACCAUAAUUUCUUGAGACAUUUCUACUCGUCAUGAGUUGUUUGACUUCGAUAUUCUUGGAAUUGGCUAAUAUUAGUAGCAGUAAGAUUAAGUAGUUUAACUAAUACUAUGGUAGUAAGAUCAAGUGGUUUAACUAAAUCUGAUUCUAGUAAGAUCAAGUGGUUUAACUACUAGUAUUAUUAUUGUGGUUCCUGUUUGGUUGUAUUUUGGAUCCAAGAGAUUGAUUUUAAAAGGAUGUUCUAUUGUGGUUCCUUUAACAGAAUUAUCUAAUACUAACAACCAUAUUAUAAUGGGAAACAAUAAAAUCAUGGUAAUGUGCAUACCUUUAGCUGGAAUUAAUUGCCAUGAAUGAAUAAGUGAAACAUGUUCCAUUUGCUUGUGCAAGCACCUCUACCAAAAAAGAUCAAAGGUUAUAAAAGCAUGUCCGUUUUCAUCAUAUAACUCCCAAGGUUCAUACAACAGAUCUCCAUUGUAACUUUUCACAAAUAUACCAAGUUCAACUAAUUUUUCUUUGAUGUUGUGGUCGCGAACAAGUGAAACCGAAUCUAAAGUUAGCAAAAAUUAGCAAAAACAUUCAAUACAUAAAACUAAAGUUACAUAACAUACUAACUAAUUUAUAAACAACACUACUUAUAUAGAUUGUAAGAAUUUUGUUCAAAGCAUUCUUAUUAUUUUUCAAGUAGAGGAUGAUCUUAAAACCUACAAGGAAGCAAUAGCUUCAAGGGACUCUUCCUUUUGAAAGGACGCUAUCCAAGAUGAAAUGGAUUCAAUUAUGUCAAACCACACUUGGGAAUUUGUUGUUUACCAAAGGUAUCAAGGCCUAUUGGAUGCAAGUGAGUGUUUAAAAGGAAGUAUCAUAGUGAUGGUACCUUAAACACUUAUAAGACCAGAUUAUUAGCAAAAGGAUUUAUACAAAAAGAAGGCAUAGAUUACUUCGAUACAAAUGCACCAGUGGCAAGGACAACCACAAUUAGAUUGUUGUUUGCCUUGGCCUCUUUGAAUGACCUUAUAGUUCAUAAAAUGGAUGUUAAAAUAACAUUCCUAAAUGGAGAUCUCGAUGAGGAAAUCUACAUGGAACAACCAGAAGGCUACGUGCUUCCUGAAAAUGAACAAAAGGUUGGCGCCGGAGAGUAGGUGUCCGGCUGUGUUUGAGUAUGGGUUUAAGGUGUUGAAUUGGUUGGCGAAGCAGGCGAAUUUGGCUGAGUGUAGUAAAUCGAUGAGGGUUGGGAGGGUUGGUGGAGGAAGCCCUGGUGGUGGUGAUGAGUUUAACAAAUCGGAUAAUCAUAGGCAUAUUGUUGAUUCUUUUGGUGCUUCAGUGGUUGAGCCUUGGUUGGCUAGUCAUGGAGAUCCAACAAGGGAAAUUAUAGGCUCUUUGUUUAUGGAAGAAAUGAACUAGCAGAUCCGUAGUUCUUUCUUUCAUGCUUUUGUCUGAUAGAAGCAGCUAAACAAGUUCUGAAACCUCUCUUACAGUUUUAUAGAACCUGUUCUAUAGAAGCAUCUAUACAAGUUUUGAAACCUCUCUUUAUGAUCUAAUGGGAGUAACACGGAUGAUCCUAAACUCGGGUAGUUUCUCGACCCUUUUCCUAGAAUGCAAGGGAAUGUCUUGAUUACUCUAUUGUGUUUCAAGUUGAGCAAGAUAUAAUCGUGGCUGCCAAGAACGAACAAGUUUCUGUCAGAUGAAAGAUGUAGCAUGAUGUAGUUUUCUAGAUGAUCCCAAAACUAAUGACCACAAGCCGGUGAAGUUCGUCUAAAGAUACUCUUCACCUCCCUUUUCCAUACUGAUGUUUACUUUUUGGGAAGCUAAGGUAACUAACCUUCCUGAAUUUAAUUUAAUCCCUAAACUAUUUUUUUUUAAUGGAAUCUCAACUUGUAAAUAAUUUUCAAUUCUCCUAAACUUCAAAUAGUUUGUGUUUGGAUCUCUAAAUUCAGGGACUAGUUAUAAAUUAUUUAAUAGUUUAGGGACUUUAAUUUCUCUCAAAAUUGAGCUAAAGCCUAAACCUGGUUGGAAGGUUAGUUUCUCUCAAACUUGUAUUUGGUCUUUGCCUAUUUUCUUUUCCAUGCACAUCAAAUGUUCGACGAAAUGCCAUAACUGACUGACUUAUAUCCCUUCGUUUCCGGAAAAUCUUGGUCGCAUUCGUAAGACUUUCAUUGACUUCAUCAGCUUGAACCACUGAGUAGUUAACGACCACUUCCGUCUGGUGGACUCCAUCAAUGCUUUCAACUUUCAAGCCUUGGAUUCAAGCUCUCUCCGAUGAGCAGUUGGCCGCCAAAACCAAGGAUUUUCGCCUCCGGCUUGGGUGAGGGGAGAUACUUGCAGAUAUUCAAGCUGAGGCGUUCACAGUUGUCCAGGAGGCUGCCACAAGGAAACUUGGAAUGCGCCAUUUUGAUGUUCAGGAAGUUUUUUAUUUUAAUGCCGAUGAUGGAUUUUGUCAUGGAAUUGAAGAACUGUUGUCACAGUAUAGGGAAUGGGUCCCCUUAAUUACGGCUUUCCGGACCAUGAUCAUUUGUCCCGGUCAUUGAGAUGGGAAUCACAAGAGUUAUGAAAAGUGAAGGCUGGUUCAAUGUUUUAUUGAUUAUAGCAAAUGGCCUGGUGACAGGUGAGCGUGAACAAGUGAGCACACAAGAAAGAAAAACUGUAGAAGCUAUUGUGAAAGCCAAAUUAUCGGUGGAGCUGUGUUGCAUGAUGGGUCAAUUGCUGAGAUGAAAACGGGAGAGGGGAAAACCUUAGUCUCCACGCUAGCAACAUAUCUUAAUUCCUUGACCGCUGAGGGUGUCCAUGGUUUGUGUUAAUGCCAAGACUUUAAAGCUUUAAUAGAUUGUUAGACAAUUUCUUCAGACGCUGCAGACACUUGGUUUUACAAAAAUGACACUCUCUGAUCUUAAUGUCUUUGAGGUUGUAAUUGUCAAUGAUUAUUUAACUCAGUGUUAUGCUGAACGGAUGGGUGUGUUCAUCGUUUCUUAUGUCUUUCUGAAUUCUGAUGGUCUUAUUCAGGUAAAUUCUCUCAUCCAAUGGUAAAAUUUGUUGUUUAUCUAUGAUGUGUUUGAUGGUGGGAUAUACUAGUCGAGCACAUGUUUUGACAUAAUGUACAAAUGGACUGGCUCUGGUUUUCACUAAUUUUUGCAACAGUAACUGCAUAAUACGAUUUUAGAUUUUUAUAUAUUACUUAAUAAUAGCUCACAGUAGCACUUUCUGUUAAACUGAUUAUUUAAUGUUUGUAUGCACCGAGGGGGAUGAAUUCUGUAGAGCGGAGAUUCAACUAUAGAUGUGAUACAACAUGUACGAAUAAUUCGGUAAUUACAAUUUUCAGCUACUAUUGUUAUCUCAGUUGUGCAUUAAUUUCUUGACAGUGCAUGUUUUCUUGUGUUCCUUUUCUUUCCCUUCUUACAUUAGGAGCUUGGCUUUGAUUAAUAAUCUUGUUGGAAUUAGCGAGCAGCUUGUGAUGAAAUGGUAGUGUGUAUUACUUAACUAAAACCUAGAUGUUGUGUUUUUUUCUGUGGUAUGGAAUACAAUUGGAUUACUGGCUAUUCUUUUGCAUGAGUACAUGCCAAAGCCAUUUCAUUUUGCUAUUGUUCACGAGGUGGAUUUAAUACUGAUAGAUGAGGGAAGAAAUCUGCUGUUAAUCAGUGGUGAGGUCAACUCAAGAGUUGUUUUGUUUAUUUUUCUUGUGGUCCAGUCUGUCAUCAUCUUUUCUUCUUUAACGGUCUUGUCUGUCAUCAUUUUGAACCGAGUCGAAGAUGCAUAAUAGAGUUUUGUUCAUAAGGGUUGCUAAUUUGAUAAUAGGCCAAAAACAAUAAUAAUGAUAUAAAGGUAAGAAACAAUUGAAUGGACAAAACAAAGUACAGACAAAAAAAGGAUAUUUUCCAACUUAGUUAUGUAUUAGAUAUAUUAGUUGGGGCCAGGGUAUAUUUUUGUCAAAAAGGACAAAUAAAGCAGUAAAAUAGAUGGACCCAACUUAAAGACUUUGGAUAAAUAUAUAUGAAAUGGGCCCAAGAUAUAGACAUGUCAAAGAAGUAGCGUUAAAGGUUUCUUCCUCGGUGACUAAACAUAAGUUCCAAAUACGAAAUUAGGGUUUCGUUCUGAUAGAGGAGGAUUUGGUCGACGGCGCAAACAAACCUUGGACGUUGCAAUGACGUACUCUUCGCCAUUUAACAUUCCCGAUCGGUGAGUUGCAUGUAUAUUGAAUGUGUUUAUCGUUUAUAAGAUAUGUAAAUGUCGUUGAAAUUUUAACAGAUGUAUAAGAUAUGUAUUUGUGAGUUGCAUGUUCAUUCUCGUAGUAUGAAAGUUAUCUUUUUGUCCUUGAAAAUUUAGAACUGUAGAGCAACUUGGAAUGGAGAACAAUUGGGAAAAAUUGAAGAGAGAGGUUGAGAUUCGCCGAGUGUUGCAGUUGGUGAGUGUUGUAGGUGGAUGGAGGAAAGUUUGGGAAAGGUUUAACCGCAGAAAGAGGAACGCAUGCCUUUGGGAACGCGAAAGAAAAUUUAGGUUUAUGAUGGCAGCUCUUGAGACACGACGUAGUUCAAUAGAAUGGAAGGCAACAUGGCAAUCAAGCAAUUUUGGUCUGGGCGGAAACCCUUCUGACAAUACUGAAGGCAAGGCUGAAAAACAGGUUGUGGUUGGUGUUGGGGAAAGGAAAAGAAUGUCGAGAAGAAAAGCACUACGUCAUGUGAUUGUAUUAUCUUCAGAUUCAGAAAGGAAGAGAAGGAUGGCAAAGAAUGUGAUAAGCGAAAGAAGAGCAAAAAGAAUCAGGAAGGACCAAGUUCCAUUGCCAAAGAAAGGCAUGAUGAUCGUUUUGUUGUAAUGCAAAAAGAAAAAAGAUGGACUAAGGUGGUUACAAACCCACCAACAAUGGGCACGCAAGUUCUUCAAAUUCCUGUUGAGGUCAUAACUAAUUGUGUAUUGGAAGGCAAGACUACCAUUGGACUGUAUGACACGGACAAACGCAAGGCCUACAAUUGUGUCCUGAAGAAGAGAGAGAAUAAGAAUGGAAUGUUUCUUUGCAGGGGCUGGUAUGAGUAUGGGAAAAGCAGGAAGUUCAAGAAAGGUGAUGUUCUAAAUUUCACCAUUAGGUACCCACCUGUUGAAGAAAUUUUGGUGUGUGUUGUCAGUGGCAAAUAGUGAAGAAUUACCUUUGGAAACUUGUAUUUUGGGUUAGAAUAGUGUGACUUGAGUUGAUUAAUUAAGUAAGUUUGGAUGUUUUUGUUGUAAAAUAUUUGUGAUGUAGGCUGUGUAGUUAAUGUCAUUUUGAAGGUUAUAAAGAUGCAGUGAAGUUAAAGUGUAUGUGAUUGUAAUAGAAGUAUUAACCACUAAACGUACUACCCUUCCACAUAAAUACUUCUGUUACAAUCACAUACACUUUAACUCCACUGCAUCUUUAUAUCCUUCAAAAUGACAUUAACUACACAACCUACAUCACAAAUAUUUUACAACAAAAACAUCCAAACUUAUUUAAUUAACCAACUCAAGUCACACUAUUCUAACCAAAAAUACACGUUUCUAAAGGUAAUUCUUCACUAUUUGCCACAGACAACACACACCAAAAUUUCUUUAACAGGUGGGUACCUAAUGGUGAAAUUUAGAACAUCACCUUUCUUGAACUUCCUGCUUUUCCCAUACUCAUACCAGCCCCUGCAAAGAAAUAUUUCAUUCUUAUUCUCUCCUUCAGGACACAAUUGUAGGCCUUGCGUUUGUCCGUGUCAUACAGUCCAAUGGUAGUCUUGCCUUCCAAUACACAAUUAGUUAUGACCUCAACAGGAAUUUGCUACAAUUCAUUAGAAAUUAAUCACAUUAACAUGACACUUUAAUUACAGUCACUUUAGUUACAAUCAUACAACAGUUAUGGUUUACUUAAGGACUUGCAAGAACUUGCGUGCCCAUUGUUGGUGGGUUUGUAACCACCUUAGUCCAUCUUUUUUCUUUUUGCAUUACAACAAAACGAUCAUCAUGUCUGUAUUUCAAAUCAACAUUUAAAACUAUUAUAUUCUUAACUAAAAUCUAUUACUAAAACGGAAUAUACAUCUACAAAUAUGACACUUCUAUUUAGGUUGUCCGAAUAAUUUGGAUUUAGCUUCUAAAUAUAUAACAAUAAAUUAUUAUAUUUACCCUUCCUUAUCGGAUGAUAUUGAAAUGUGGUCAUCUUCCUCUUCGACCAUAACUCCUUUGCCCUUUCGGUCCGAACUACUUUCUUUGGCAAUGUAACUUGGUCCUUCUUGAUUCUUUUUGCUCUUCUUUUGCUUAUCACAUUCUUUGCCAUCCUUCUCUUCCCUGCAUCCAGAAGAACAACGAUAAACUAUUCUUUCUAAACAUUUUAACUAUUAUCACAUCACUUUUAUCAUUAUUUAUUACGUACUUAUUAUCAUCUUUAUCUUACAUGCAUCCAAACAUUACUUGCUAUCACAUUACUAAUAACAGACAAACAAUAAAUAUCUAACUAACAAAUAUUAUGUCUAUGUUUUACCUUUAUUUGGCAAUGGAACUUGGUCCUUCCUGAUUCUUUUUGCUCUUCUUUCGCUUAUCACAUUCUUUGCCAUCCUUCUCUUCCCUGCAUCCAGAAGAACAACAAUAAACAUUUUAACUAUUAUCACAACACUUUUAUCAUUAUUUAUUACGUACUUAUUAUCAUCUUUAUCUUACAUGCAUCCAAACAUUACCUGCUAUCACAUUUCUAAUAACAGACAAACAAUAAAUAUCUAAUUAACAAAUAUUAUGUCUAUGUUUUACCUUUCUUUGGCAAUGGAACUUGGUCCUUCCUGAUUCUUUUUGCUCUUCUUUCGCUUAUCACAUUCUUUGUCAUCCUUCUCUUCCAUGCAUCCAGAAGAACAACGAUAAACUAUUCUUUCUAAACAUUUUAACUAUUAUCACAACACUUUUAUCAUUAUUUAUUACGUACUUAUUAUCAUCUUUAUCUUACAUGCAUCCAAACAUUACCUGCUAUCACAUUUCUAAUAACAGACAAACAAUAAAUAUCUAACUAACAAAUAUUAUGUCUAUGUUUUACCUUUCUGAAUCUGAAGAUAAUACAAUCACAUGACGUUGUGCUUCUCUUCUCGACAUUCUUUUCCUUUCCCCAACACCAACCAUAACCUGUUCUUCAGCCUUGCCUUCAGUAUUGCCAGAAGGGUUUCCGCCCAGACCGGAAUUGCUUGAUUGCUAUGCUGCCUUCCAUUCUAUUGAACUACGUCGUGUCUCAAGAGCUGCCAUCAUAAACCUAAAUUUUCUUUCACGUUCCCAAAGGCAUGCGUUCCUCUUUCUGCGGUUAAACCUUUCCCAAACUUUCCUCCAUCCACCUACAACAGUCACCAACUGCAACACUCGGCGAAUCUCAACCUCUCUCUUCAGUUUUUCCCAAUUGUUCUCCAUUCCAAGUUGCUCUACAGUUCUAAAUUUUCAAGGACAAAAAGAUAACUUUCAUACUACGAGAAUGAACAUGCAACUCACAAAUACAUAUCUUAUACAUCUGUUAAAAUUUCAACGACAUUUACAUAUCUUAUAAACGAUAAACACAUUCAAUAUACAUGCAACUCACCGAUCGGGAAUGUUAAAUGGAGAAGAUUACGUCAUUGCAACGUCCAAGGUUUGUUUGCGCCGUCGACCAAAUACUCCUCUAUCAGAACGAAUCCCUAAUUUCGUUUUUAGAACUUAUGUUUAGUCACCGAGGAAGAAACCUUUAAAGCUACUUCUUUGACAUGUCUAUAUCU